UACGAAGGGGGGCUAGCGUUGCUCGGAAUCACUGGGUGUAAAGCGCACGUAGGCGGAUCUUUAAGUCAGGGGGUGAAAUCCCCAAGGCUCAACCUUGGAACUGCCUUUGAUACUGGGGAUCUCGAGUCCGGAAGAGGUUGGUGGAACUGCGAGUGUAGAGGUGAAAUUCGUAGAUAUUCGCAAGAACACCAGUGGCGAAGGCGGCCAACUGGUCCGGUACUGACGCUGAGGUGCGAAAGCGUGGGGAGCAAACAG
rnacentral:rRNA from 1 species